rnacentral:rRNA from 1 species
CUACGUGCCAGCAGCCGCGGUAAUACGUAGGGGGCAAGCGUUAUCCGGAAUAACUGGGCGUAAAGGGUGCGCAGGUGGUUUAACAAGUUAGUGGUGAAAGGCAUAGGCUCGACCAAUGUAAGCCAUUAAAACUGUUUAACUUGAGUGCAGGAGAGGAAAGUGGAAUUCCUAGUGUAGCGGUGAAACGCGUAGAUAUUAGGAGGAAUACCAGUGGCGAAGGCGACUUUCUGGACUGCAACUGACACUGAGGCACGAAAGCGUGGGGAGCAAACAGGAUUAGAUACCCUGGUAGUCCACGCCGUAAACGAUGAGUACUAGGUGUCGGGUGAAGAACUCGGUGCCGAAGUUAACACAUUAAGUACUCCGCCUGGGGAGUACGCUCGCAAGAGUAAAACUCAAAGGAAUUGACGGGGACCCGCACAAGCAGCGGAGCAUGUGGUUUAAUUCGAAGCAACGCGAAGAACCUUACCUAAACUUGACAUACCAAUGACAGCCUU